rnacentral:lncRNA from 1 species
UUGUUGUUUGUCCACGGGCGCGUGGUAGUCAAGCUGAAGUCGUCCUGCAGCUGGAGCCUCUCCUCACUGACGGCCUGCAGAGCUCCGAGGACGGACGGACGGACGGACGGACGGACUCCACGGCCGCACGGGCCUGAGGCUUAAAGAAAUCAUCUGAUCAUCAUCAACAGUCAUGCCAGGGCACCGGAGGGGGAGGAGCCUGUCCGAGGCGCUGACCCUGGAGCAGCUGGAGGAGGGAGGUGUCGUCAUUUCCAGCAUCAGCAACCCCAAACACAGCCAGGACCUAAAGGAAGGGGAUGAAAUUAUGGGGGCAACCAUAAAUUUUGAUCAACUAUCAAAAGAGGAAGUGUUGAAAGUCCUGAAGCUAAUGGAGCCGUUUGAAGACAAAGUCCAAGUUCACACUCGAAACAACUUAAGCAAGAGCCUGGGCGACCUGGAUGUGUGUGCCAGGAGCCCUGAGAAGGUAGGUGUCACACAGACAUGCAUUGAGCUCCUUUUGAAAUUUCUGAUUUUACACUCCAAUCGACUG